AGUGAACGCUGGCGGUAGGCCUAACACAUGCAAGUCGAACGGCAGCACAGUAAGAUCUUGCUCUUACGGGUGGCGAGUGGCGGACGGGUGAGGAAUACAUCGGAAUCUACUUUUUCGGGGGGGAUAACGUAGGGAAACUUACGCUAAUACCGCAUACGACCUACGGGUGAAAGCAGUGGAUCUUCGGACCUUGCGCGAUUGUAUGAGCCGAUGUCGGAUUAGCUAGUUGGCGGGGUAAAGGCCCACCAAGGCGACGAUCCGUAGCUGGUCUGAGAGGAUGAUCAGCCACACUGGAACUGAGACACGGUCCAGACUCCUACGGGAGGCAGCAGUAGGGAAUAUUGGACAAUGGGCGAAAGCCUGAUCCAGCCAUACCGCGUGGGUGAAGAAGGCCUUCGGGUUGUAAAGCCCUGUUGUUGGGAAAGAAAAGCAGCAGGUUAAUACCCGGCUGUUCUGACGGUACCCAAAGAAUAAGCACCGGCUAACUUCGUG
rnacentral:rRNA from 1 species